UACAAGAAGAAUUUUUUUAAA
rnacentral:piRNA from 1 species